rnacentral:lncRNA from 1 species
AUGGGGCAGUAAGAACUCACACAUUCAGAAUCUGGAGGGAGCAAAGUUUGAGAUAUCUUUAAGAAGAGAUAUGGAAAUGUCAAGUCGACAGUUGUACAUACAGAUCUGGGGCUCAAGGAUACAGCCUGGGCUGGAGAUAGACAUUUGAGAGCCAUCAGCAAGAAGAUCACUAUUAUAGUGAGUUUGAGGAAGAUGAAUCCAGUUUCACAGUACCUGCCACCUAUUUCAAGGCCCUGGUUUGGGCAGCAGAUCUGAUGCAGGAUAUAGACAAACCAGCAUUAAUGGCAGGAUGGAUACCUUUCUAGAAUCAGUCUGUUUCCAAGAAGAUCUGUCCAUCAGGGAUGAAAAUGAUAUUCCUUGGAAUGUAAGCAGACGCAUCACCAGUUUGUGUUUCUGUGACUGGUAAAGCGGUCAAGGAGCAGCCACCAAAAGCAUCAUUCAUUUCAGCUGCUCUCUAGCAGACUGGAGUACAGGUAGAAGACAUCACCAGGCUUAUAGUGGGUCAGGAGAACAGCAGAGACAUCGAUGAUAAGCAACAGCCUGUUUGGAUAAGUCAUCAUAAGUGAUCAAAGCAUGUUUGCCAUGAUCGCUAAAAUAUUCUCCCAUGAGACAUCCAAAAUAAGAAACCAGGUACUGAAGUGGGCAGCAUCUGCAGCAGUAGCUGACACCACAAUGGUGUACUUCAUGGUAUAUGCAUCUGUAAGUGUCUUUAUUAAUUGGGCAACAGUGGAUCUCUUUUGACCAAUGGCAAUGUAGAUGCAGUAUAGCUUCUUCUUGUCAUUAUUUCCAUUGUUGAAUCAUUUCUAGUUAAUGAUUGUGUCAAUAGCAAUAACGUUUUGCCAGUCUGUCGGUCACCAAUAAUCAGGUCAUGCUGACAGCAACCAUUCAGCACCAAGCUGUCCACAGCCUUAAUGCCAGUUUGCAUUGGUUCCUACACAGAGACCUAAGGAAUGAUCCUAGGGGCUUUCAGGCCAAUUUGCCUUUGGACCUUGGAACCCACUGGACCCCUUCCAUCAGUGGCAUUACCAAGGGCAUCUACUGCAGGAUCCAACAGCUUCUCACCAACUGGAACAUCUACAGUAGCUCCAGUUCUCAUCACAGUAUCUCCUUCCUUAAUUAGCUUAUCAUUUCCAAACACAACAACACCAAUAUUAUCAGCUUCCAAGUUCAGAGACAUACCCUUUAACCUGAAUAAAACCCUACCAUUUCUUUUGCUUGAACAUUUCUUAGUCCAUGUACAUGGGCAGUAUCAUCACAAAUAUGUAAGAUAUGCCCAGUCUCUUCAAGAUCAGCAGAGGCAUCAGCUGCAAGAAUAUGCUCUUCAAGAAGAGAGGACACCUCAGCAGUGCCAGUCAUCUGAAGAUGAGAAUGAGAGGCAUGAAGGCUCCUUGCAACAAAGAAGGAUCAUCCCAGAGCAUUUUUUACCAACUCGGUCUGCCAAGGGAGGGUUUUGGACUCCUUGAUAAUAUGGACCAUCCUGCCACUGAUCCCUACGUUCCUACUGAAUUGAACACGAAUUCUAAGCACAGGAGCAGAAGCACAUCUAAAGAAGACCUGUAAGCAGGGAACUGCGUAUUCUUUCUUAACUGAGGGAGCCCUGCUGAACACAUUGCGAAGACACCAUUCUUAGGUCUGAUUUUGAAACAGCCCCAGGUGUUUCCAGUUACGUCCAAGUCCACGGGGUAUCAUGAAGUUUGCAAAACUAAUAUAAUUUACAUUCCUGGAUUUAUAAAAAGCAGUUAUUGUACGUGCCUCAUGGUACACUCUUGAUGGGAAGGGGGAAGAAUUGUGAAACCCAGCACACAAUGAGCCGAUGUUGUAAUUCCCCAAAGGCUGCAAAACACAAACAAAAACAAUGCAAGAGAGAUGAUAAAAACACUAUGAGAAAACACUGAGUUGGUGUUUAGAGAGCCCAGUCCUGUCUCUGCGUGCUUUGUCCAAUGACAUAUCUACUCAAUGCCAAAUGAACACUCCACUUUUCCUUUGAUUGAAACAUUUUUUGACACUCUCCUUGUUGGCCAUAAGCAUUUCUGCUACUUUUGCUCAUUGAACCUCAAAAUGACUGCACUCACACUCCAUUUUUUCAUUAUUCAUUCAUUUUGCAAACAUUUACUGAGGCUUCCUAUGUUUCCAGCAUUGAGCCAGGCACUGGGGUUGAGGGAGGAAUUACAAAAAUGCUCAGCAUCUAGUGGGGUGAGACCAAGAAGCAAAGAGUUGCAGGGUGUGUGUUUGUGGAAGCAAGUUCUCACAACGCGUUAAGUGAACCCAGCUAGAGAGCUAUGAGGUCAGUUCUGGAUCUGGUUGGGUAAAGGAUUAGCCUAGGCGGGGAGAGCUGUGUGGAGCAGGAUUACUUGAUCUAGUUGGAAGGGUGGGGAGGAAGUGGAAUAAGCCUCUUAAAGCAAAUAGCCUGAGCCAGGGGAAGGCAAUGGCAGCGCACUCCAGUACUCUCGCCUGGGAAAUCCCCUGGAUGGAGGAGCCUGGUAGGCUGCAGUCCAUGGGGUUGCUAAGAGUCGGACACGAUUGAGCGACUUCACUUUCACUUUUCACUUUCACAAUUGGAGAAGGAAAUGGCAACCCACUCCAGUGUUCUUACCUGGAGAAUCCCAGGGAUGGGGGAGCCUGGUGAGCUGCCAUCUAUGGGGUCGCACAGAGUUGGACACGACUGAAGUGACUUAGCAGGGGAAAAAAUGUGUUGAAGUUCUACCAGUUAACAAUGUUGUUGCCAGUCAAUGUCUCAGCAGCCUGUGGUUGGACUGGGACUCUCAAAGGUACCAGAAGCAGACAGGGCAGGGAUGAUCCUGCAUGAGAAACAACUUUUAUUGACUUCGACAUAUUUUCUCCUCAGUUGGCCUUGACCUAUCAUUCAAAGUAAUCUCAGUGAAACUUUGGCACCAUUCCUCCCUUCCUUUUAUUUAGGAAGAAAUCAUUCAUCCGAUGAUUUUGAACUCUUACUAGAUACCAGGUGUAGACUGGGACUGCUGCUGCUGCUGCUUGGUCACUCAUUCCUGUCUGACUCUUUGUGACCCCAUGGACCAUAGCCCUCCAGGCUCGUCUGUUCAUGGGAUUUUCCUAGCAAAAAAACCAGAGUGGGUUGCCAUUUCCUCCUCCAGGGUAUCUUCCCAACUCAGGGAUCAAACCCACGUCUCCUGCUCUGCAGGUAGUUUCUUAACCACUAAGCCACCAGGGAAGCCCAGACUGGGACCAGACAUAGGAAAAUAUGACAUAAUCAUUUGCCCUGGAGCUAAGGGGUGGGGGAGGUCACUUUUUAGGCACACAUAUUCGGACAUGGUAUCAGAUAUAUUCAGGAGGCACUUCAAUGGUGAUUCAAAUGGUAAAGAAUCCACCUGCAAUGCAGGAGACCCCAGUUCAAUUCCUGGGUCAGGAAGUUCCCCUGGAGAAGGGAUAGGCUACCCACUCCAGUAUUCUUGGGCUUCCCUGGUGGCUCAGACGGUAAAGAAUUCACCUGCAAUUUGGGAGACCUGAGUUUGAUCCCUGAGUCAGGAAGAUCCCCUGGAGAAAGGAAUGGCAACCCACUCCAGUAUUCUUGCCUAGAGAAUCCCAUGGACAGAGGAGCCUGGCUGGCUAAAUACAUGGUCUUGCAAAGAGUUGGACAUGACUGAAUGACUAACACUUCAACUUCCACAGCUCCUGGGAAUUGGGGCAUAACAUGUAUGGCAGACACUAUAAAAUUUUGCUUGGAUUUUGAGGGCCAAGAAGACCCCCCCACCACCACUGUCAUUCAGUAAUAGUGGGGUAAAAUGCAUGACUGGAAGCCGAUGACCUGUGUUCUCACUCUGCAGCAAUGAUGUGUGUGUGUGUGUGUGUGUGUGUGUGUGUGUGUCUCUGUCUGUGUCUGUGUGUGAAAGAGAAAGAGAGAGCCAGUCAAGUACACGUCAGAGUGAUGGGAAGGGUCCAUAUGGCAGUGCCUGUUCUCUGAUCCCG